rfam:Picea glauca, whole genome shotgun sequence.
UCCGUUGUAGUCUAGUUGGUUAAGAUACUCGAUUCUCACCCCAGAGACUUGGGUUCAAAUCCUGACAACAAAA